UGGUGGAGAAAGCACGUGGUCCUCCUGCAGUUUACUGUCUGGUUUCAACUCAACAUUUACCUAAUACAAAUGUGUCAUUGACAUUGAUAUAACCUACUACUCAGUGGAUGGAAGAAUUGAUGCAGGUCCUCAGAACCUCAGAAAACCAUUGUUGAAGCAGAAGUACUAAAUAUGAUACUUUUUUUCUACAUGUAACAAUAUUCUCAAUAUUCUCAGACAUCUCAUCAGCAGUACAACGUGCUUCAGUUAUUUGCAAGUGGACAAGGAAGACGGCAGGAAUGUGCAGUGAUUUUCUCAAGCUUGCAAUAGAUAUUAACUACUUAUGACAGCAUCCAGUAAUACACAUUGCUUCUACUUUUGUUAACUAUUUUAAAAACAGAAAUUUUUAAAGAACACCUUUGAUUUUAAGUAGCCUAUGAGAAUAAAUGUUCUGAUUCAGCAUGACAUUUACAUAACUUCUGAAAUUUAGGCACAUAUUUGAGAACUGUGCUGAAGCUAAGUGUCCUUUUAAUUUCAUUUCAUUUUAGCUGUAGUACUGUAAAAGAAGAACAAAGCAGCAAUAAAUU